rnacentral:rRNA from 1 species
UACGUAGGGUGCGAGCGUUGUCCGGAAUUACUGGGCGUAAAGAGCUCGUAGGUGGUUUGUCGCGUUGUUCGUGAAAACCGGGGGCUUAACCCUCGGCGUGCGGGCGAUACGGGCAGACUUGAGUACUGCAGGGGAGACUGGAAUUCCUGGUGUAGCGGUGGAAUGCGCAGAUAUCAGGAGGAACACCGGUGGCGAAGGCGGUUCUCUGGGCAUUACCUGACGCUGAGGAGCGAAAGCGUGGGGAGCGAACAGG